AAAAGUAAAAAGACAGAAAUGCUGAAACCUAAUACAUUGGAAAAACAAUAACAUAUCAAACUCAAUAUUUAAAUUCUCAUAAUUAACAGAAAUGAUGUAUAUUUCCUGAUGAUAUAUUUUCAUUGACAACUAUAGUGUAUAACAGAGUAAACAAAGUACAAUCAAGUUUAAGUUACACUUCACUCACUCUUAGUCCACUGUC